UGUUCAUUUUUAAUGCCGAGGGAUCUUUAUCUCUUUAUCGCCGGCAUUUAAAAUUUUGUGAUUUCUUAAUAAAAAGUGAGUUUUGUGUACACUAUUUCUUCAUAAAUUCUUGUUUGUGCAUCGAUCAGCCUCUCUAAAAAACGAGAUUUAAUAUCACACAUCAGCACACUGCUGCCCAGCUACCGAACCGCCAGGGAUCUUACUAAUUAUGCUCGAUGGCAGAUGAAAUUUACGUAAGGUGGUGUCCCGACGGAUUGGAUCAAAGGGUGACGCUCCAAAGCACGACGCUGCCUUCUUCCGAAAAGGAGACCUGGAAUAUCUCCCGAACUUUCAUGAAAUUGAGAUGAUGGAAGGAUUGAAUAAAUAUGUGUUUAAACUAAGUGUUUAAAACAGUGGAAAUAUUUGGAACAUUUAUAAGUUGAAUUGCUGAUCAAUAUGGUUAAGUCUGGCGGGAAGGUUUAAUCUUUUUGAGAAGACAUGCAGACAUUUUACGAGCGGUCAAUACUGUGCUCAAUAUGAGGAAGCACUUUUCUUCAGAUGAAUAUUCUUUCUAUAAAUGGAAUAUAUUGUAUUCUAAACUUUCUUGGUUGGCCUCUAUCAUGCUUUAGAUGAUAUUACGUCUUAGUAUUUCAGUAGAUUGUCCAACUUGUGAAGCAAUCUAAAAAAAUGAAGCAAUAAAAAUUAAUCUGGAAUUUGUUUCUAAAAAAUGAAAUACUGCAUUAUGGGUUAUGGUCUAAAUAGUUCUCUCAUUUCACGAUGUAACAACAGUAACACACUUAAAAUAGAUUGUCUGAGCCUGAAACAAUCUGGAAGUGGCAACUUUGUGUAAGAAAUGAAUACUACAAUAACAUAUAAUAUCUAACACUGGCUGGAAACUCCCGUAUUAUGUUGAUGGAACAGCAGCAGUAGAUUAUCUUGACUUUUUCACAAAUCUUGUAAUUGAUACAGCUACCAGGAUUCUUAAAAGUAUUUAUUUUGCUGCUUCUGACUGUUGCUUCCAUCCUACUCCUACUCGUCUUCAACAGGAUUUAGCAAAAAUUGGUCUUGCUCCUUCACCAUACACCAAAAUGUCGCUUCUGAAUAUUAUGCGUAUAAUAGGCAUCUAUUUUUAUUCUGGUUUGUUGUAAAACUUUGAUAAUCUGAAUAUGACGUUAAAAAUGUGUACUGUACUACAGAAAAAGUUAUAUAGCUUAUAAUUUAUCUGUUAUUUCUAAAAUCAUGCUUUGAAUUUUAUUUAAAACGUUGAUGUAUGCUGCUUGGUAUUGUCUUCAAAUAUUUUUUGUAUAAUGGGUAAACCAAUUUUCUAUAAAUGGGGGUUUGUAUUUUUUAUUGUUAUUAUUUUUUUAAUUAAAA